CAAGUCGAACGAGAAUCUGGAGGUUCAAGUUUCGGACAAGGGAACUUCGGAGGAAAGUGGCGGAAGGGUGAGUACAACAUGGAUAAUCUACCUUCAAGUUGGGUAUAGCUUCCCGAAAGGGGAGAUAAUCCCGAAUGUGGUGAUCCGGCGCCUGUCGGAGAAUCCAAAGGUGGGGACCGCAAGGCCUGCCGCUUGAAGAUGAGUCCGUGCACUAUCAGCUAGUUGGUGAGGUAAUGGCUCACCAAGGCGAUGACGGUUAGCUGGUCUGAGAGGAUGGUCAGCCACACUGGGACUGAGAUACUGCCCAGACUCCUACGGGAGGCUGCAGUCGAGAAUCAUUCGCAAUGGGCGCAAGCCUGACGGUGCGACGUCGCGUGGAGGAUGAAGGUCUUCGGAUUGUAAACUCCUGUCAUGUGGGAUAAAUGGCCAGGGCAUGAAUAGUGCCUUGGAAUGAUAGUACCACAGGAGGAAGGGACGGCUAACUCUGUG
rnacentral:rRNA from 1 species